GAUGAACGCUGGCGGCGUGCCUAAUACAUGCAAGUCGAGCGAACAGACGAGGAGCUUGCUCCUCUGACGUUAGCGGCGGACGGGUGAGUCACACGUGGAUAACCUACCUAUAAGACUGGGAUAACUUCGGGAAACCGGAGCUAAUACCGGAUAAUAUAUUGAACCGCAUGGUUCAUUAGUGAAAGACGGUUUUGCUGUCACUUAUAGAUGGAUCCGCGCCGCCUUAGCUAGUUUGUAAGGUAACGGCUUACAAAGGCAACGAUGCGUAGCCGACCUGAGAGGUUGAUCGGCAACACUGGAACUGAGACGCGGUCCAGACUCCUACGGGACGCAGCAGUAGGGAAUCUUCCGCAAUGGGCGAAAGCCUGACGGAGGAACGCCGCGUGAGUGAUGAAGGUCUUCGGAUCGUAAAACUCUGUUAUGAGGGAAGAACAAAUGUGUAAGUAACUAUGCACGUCUUGACGGUACCUAAUCAGAAAGCCACGGCUAACUACGUG
rnacentral:rRNA from 1 species